ACCCCGUGGCGCAGUGGUCAAGCGCCGUGGCAAACCCCAACACUUUUCUUACAUAAGCAAGAAUUGUGCGGGUUGCAGGUUCGAAACCUGCACGGGGGG